CCUACGGGAGGCAGCAGUGGGGAAUAUUGCACAAUGGGCGAAAGCCUGAUGCAGCGACGCCGCGUGAGGGAUGACGGCCUUCGAGUUGUAAACCUCUUUCAGCAGGGAAGAAGCGAGAGUGACGGUACCUGCAGAAGAAGCGCCGGCUAACUACGUGCCAGCAGCCGCGGUAAUACGUAGGGCGCAAGCGUUGUCCGGAAUUAUUGGGCGUAAAGAGCUCGUAGGCGGCUUGUCACGUCGGGUGUGAAAGCCCGGGGCUUAACCCCGGGUCUGCAUUCGAUACGGGCUAGCUAGAGUGUGGUAGGGGAGAUCGGAAUUCCUGGUGUAGCGGUGAAAUGCGCAGAUAUCAGGAGGAACACCGGUGGCGAAGGCGGAUCUCUGGGCCAUUACUGACGCUGAGGAGCGAAAGCGUGGGGAGCGAACAGGAUUAGAUACCCUGGUAGUCCACGCCGUAAACGGUGGGAACUAGGUGUUGGCGACAUUCCACGUCGUCGGUGCCGCNGCUACGCAUAGUUACCCGUCCGUCGGUAGGUACGGCCGCGACGACGUAAACGUACAACGAAGUAGACGGCGUGAGACGCGACGACGACGACGACGGAGGAGGAG
rnacentral:rRNA from 1 species